rnacentral:lncRNA from 1 species
GGAAAAAUCUUUGCUUUUAUAAAAUCAUACAACAAUCUUGUUAAAAACUUGAAGCUCACGCUUCCAAUCUCAUCAAACGAUGCACAAAAAUGGGGUUUUUUAUAAACAAAAACAAGAAACUAACAGUCCAACAAACCUACCACCUUAAGAUAGACGAUUAAUGCAAUCCAUUAGAGCAUUGGUUUGUUCUGGUUUACCAACAGAAACACGAACAUAACCCUUCAGUUCUUUGUUGCUGUAGUGGCGUAUCAUCACCCCCAUUUUUGCCAGAGGAUUAAUGGAGAUAAGCUGUACCUUUAGCUUUUUAGCAUCCCGUCCAUUAGUAACCUCACAAAGAAUAAAAUUAGAAUAGCUUGGAUAUGGAUUUAGAAAUGGCACUUGUUUCAAAAGCUUAAACAGCCUUUCUCUUUCUUGUACCAGAGCAACUUUAACUU